AACCCAUGCUUUAGGCAUUUUUGGAUUAAAUCUUUAAAUCAUUCCCAAGCUUUAUAUAGUGUUUCAUCCUCCAAUUUUUGAAAAUAUGUGAUGACAUUUCUAACCUU
rfam:Gossypium hirsutum cultivar TM-1 chromosome 17, whole genome shotgun sequence